UCCUUCUGGCAAUAGGCAAAGGGACACCUUGUUAUUGGUGUUGUUCUUAUAUCAGUCAGAGGCAGAGCAGAUGGUAGUCCUUGGUUCAUCCUAGCUUGAUGCCUGGCUUGGUGGCCAAAGCUGUCUUAUGCCUAGGACUAAUAA
ensembl:snoRNA LOC120097591 small nucleolar RNA SNORA48